AGUGAACGCUGGCGGUAGGCCUAACACAUGCAAGUCGAACGGCAGCACAGUAAGAGCUUGCUCCUACGGGUGGCGAGUGGCGGACGGGUGAGGAAUACAUCGGAAUCUACUUUUUCGUGGGGGAUAACGUAGGGAAACUUACGCUAAUACCGCAUACGACCUACGGGUGAAAUCAGGGGAUCUUCGGACCUUGCGCGAUUGAAUGAGCCGAUGUCGGAUUAGCUAGUUGGCGGGGUAAAGGCCCACCAAGGCGACGAUCCGUAGCUGGUCUGAGAGGAUGAUCAGCCACACUGGAACUGAGACACGGUCCAGACUCCUACGGGAGGCAGCAGUGGGGAAUCUUGGACAAUGGGCGCAAGCCUGAUCCAGCCAUGCCGCGUGGGUGAAGAAGGCCUUCGGGUUGUAAAGCCCUUUUGUUGGGAAAGAAAAGCAGCAGGUUAAUACCCCGCUGUUCUGACGGUACCCAAAGAAUAAGCACCGGCUAACUUCGUG
rnacentral:rRNA from 1 species